GACGAACGCUGGCGGCGUGCUUAACACAUGCAAGUCGAACGGAAAGGCCCUGCUUUUGUGGGGUGCUCGAGUGGCGAACGGGUGAGUAACACGUGAGUAACCUGCCCUUGACUUUGGGAUAACUUCAGGAAACUGGGGCUAAUACCGGAUAGGAGCUCCUGCUGCAUGGUGGGGGUUGGAAAGUUUCGGCGGUUGGGGAUGGACUCGCGGCUUAUCAGCUUGUUGGUGGGGUAGUGGCUUACCAAGGCUUUGACGGGUAGCCGGCCUGAGAGGGUGACCGGCGACAUUGGGACUGCGGUACGGAGCAGACUCCUACGGGAGGCAGCAGUGGGGAAUAUUGCACAAUGGGCGGAAGCCUGAUGCAGCAACGCCGCGUGCGGGAUGACGGCCUUCGGGUUGUAAACCGCUUUCGCCUGUGACGAAGCGUGAGUGACGGUAAUGGGUAAAGAAGCACCGGCUAACUACGUG
rnacentral:rRNA from 1 species